CACAGGCGGCCAGUCUCACAGUAGCCUCCCGCAGCAGCUGCAGUCAGAGCAGAGAGGAGACCCGCACUAUCCCGCGUCGAGACUGCAAAUGAAUCGCGCAUGCGCAAAGCCACCGCUGAAAAUGUUUCUUCACUGUCACACUAAAGAAGGGUAAAACCCCCGCAGGCUUCCUCCUAAAAAGCAAAAAGACCCUGUUGGGUAAGGGAGUUCCCUGUUUUACUAAUCACUUUGCCACCAAGCUGCCCCAGCUUGCCCCUGCAGCACCUUCUUUCUCCACCCUCCUACAGCAACCUGCUGGCCAGCAUCAACAGACC